rnacentral:lncRNA from 1 species
CGGAACGCCUAUCCCUAAAAAUUAAAACAUGAAGGUCAGUCAAUCCGGAAAAUAUCAAGAGCUUUUAAAGUUUCUUCAAGUGCAGUCGCAAAAACCAUCAAGCGCUAUGAGGAAACUGGCUCUCAUGAAGACCGCCUCAGGAAAGUAAGACCCAGAGUUACCUCUGCAGCCCUAAUAAAUGCUUCACAGAGUUCAAGUAACAGACACAUAUCAACAUCAACUGUUCAGAGGAGACUGUGUGAAUCAGGCCUUCUUGGUCAAAUUGCUGAAGGAAAAAAAACACUACUAAAGAACACUAAUAAUAAGAAGAGACUUGCUUGGGCCAAGAAACAGAGCAAUGGAUAUUAGACUGGUGGAAAUCUGUCCUUUUGUCUGAUGAGUCCAAAUUUUAGAUUUUUGGUUCCAACCGCCAAGUCUUUGUGAGACGCAGAGUAGGUGAAUGGAUGAUCUCCGCAUGUGUGGUUCCCACUGUGAAGCACGGAGGAGGAGGUGUGAUGGUGUGGGGUUGCUGUCUGUGAUUUAUUUAGAAUUCCAGGUACACUUAACCAGCAUGGCUACCACAGCAUUCUGCAGCGAUACGCCAUCCCAUCUGGUUUGAGCUUAGUGCGAGUAUCAUUUGUUUUUCAACAGGACAAUGACCCAAAACACACCUCCAGGCUGUGUAAUGCCGGUUUGACCAAGGAGAGUGAUGGAGUGCUGCAGAUGACCUGUCCUCCACAAUCCCCCAACUUCAACCCAAUUGAGAUGGUUUGAGAUGAGUUGGACCGCAGAGUGAAGGAAAAGCAGCCAACAAGUGCUCAGUACAUGUGGGAACUCCUUCAAGACUGUUGGAAAAACAUUCCUCAUGAAGCUGCUUGAGAGACUGCCAAGAGUGUGCAAAGCUGUCAUCAAGGCAAAGGUUGGAGAACCUAAAAUAUAAAAUAUAUUUUGAUUUGUUUAACACUUUUUUGGUUGCUACAUGAUUCCAUAUGUGUUUUAUCAUAGUGUUUAUGUCUUCAGUAUUAUUCUACAAUGUAGAAGAUAGUAAAAAUAAAGAAAAACUCUUUGAAUGAGUAGGUGUGUCCAAACUUUUGACUGUCUGUAUAAUUCCUUUCAGACAUUUUUUGUGUGUGUGUGAGGCUGUGUGCUGAGGAUCUGUGAAGUAGUUGGGUAAAGCCACAGGAGAGGUACAGGGGCCUCUCAGGAAGUCAUUGGAACCAGGAGUCCACAUGUUGUGAUGACAGCCACAGCCAGCCCGGCGGCUUACACACUGAAUUGUGUACAGUAUUGGCCUAAUUAGUUCUCUGUUGGCUGCUUGAAUUUACAGUUUUGUAUUACAGCAGUCUUCAGCAAUCCGCCACCCCUCCUCCAGCACCUCAUGCUGUACAUACUCACUCAGCCAGACACAAAAUACACACACAGAUAAGAAUACGAUACAGUAGCAGCUCAACUCUAUGUUCAGGGACUAACCACCACUUCGUUGAUAGUGUGGUUGAUUCAAAGUGUGUCUGUGUGAUCUUUUGGCAACAUGUGAGUGUCUUCCCUGAGAAAAUGGCAACACAGACAGUGAGGCAGCAUCCCACAGGAAAGGGCCUUUGUAGUCUGCCUACUCUCUGUCCUCACUUCCCACACUGCCGACAGACACAUCCCAAACACUACAGUUGGACUCGCAUCCCCUCUGUCCGCUCUGCUACUCACAAACAUGUGCCGAGACUCAUGGAACAAUUACAGUGUGCUAUUGAAGUUGCCAUCAAUGUCCCUGUGCCUUGCAUGGUAAAGGAAAAGACUGGGAAACUCUACAGGAGAAAAUACUGAUGCUGUGGUACACUCCCAUCGACGUGCCUGCCUAAGCUGUAAACUGGAUGCUCAGCAGGUGUUCAUCCUGGGGCCUAGCAGGGGCUGCCGCUGUGAUGUGCAGGAAUGUGUCGGGCGAGGGGGACACCAGGCUGGUGGAGCUGGAGAGGGAUUAGUGCCCAGCACCCACCAACCCCUCACAGCAGGAGCUGUCAUGUCAACCCAGCCUCACUCUGAUUGGGUAUUGGUCAGGGGACAGUUUCAGGUCACAGCACCGGCAGCCUUGAACGCUGGGCACACCAUUCUCUCUCACAAUGUACAGCAGGCAACAUAUACAUGCUCUGACAACCCACGGUGGAGCAACAAAAGAGGAAGGGGAGGUUGAGUCUCUAUCGAUUACCCUCUUCGGUAAUCUCCACCCAGCCAUUUCAAAACUGAGUUCUUCCCAGUAAAUUCUGGAAGUAAUUUAUAUCAUUUAACAUAUUCACAUUGUAUGUUUUGAAAGUGCAUUCUCCGGAUGAUUCUGUUGUGAUUCUGGGACAGUUCUCUCACUUCAUAGUGGAAACACCAUUCAUAGUUGUAGAGGGAGAGAGUUACGUAACAUUUCCCUCGGGUCAUAUUGCAUGUAGUAUCUGGCUACAGUAUGCACCAACAGUGUUCUGUAAUGUAAUGAUCCAUGUCUCUUAUGGUGUUCAAAUCGAAGUUUAUUGGUCACAUACACAGUUAAGCUGAUGUUAUAACGUGUGCAGAGAAAUGCUUCUGUUUCCGGCUCCUCAACAGUACAGUGUUAUUUCUCUAUUUCUCUUCUUAAGCUAUAUUAUGUAUCCUUCCCUUUCAGACCCACUCUAUUGGACUCAUUAGCUGUGGAAUACGACCGGAUCCAUAGACAUUCCAGGUCCAAUAUGAUUUCAGACGGAAUGUCAGGCAUUACAAAAUUGACCCUGGAGUGAUUUGUGGGAGAUGGAGGAGGAGAAGGACGAAAAAAGUUAACUGUGCAUGAUGGAGAAAAGGAAACAUCUCCCCAUCACAUCUACAGAAACCAGCACUUCACCAGAGACCCCCAGACAGACACAGGGAAGAGAGGAAGAGGGACCGAGGGGGGCGGGAGGUAGAGAGGGUCAACCAGGAUGUGGGCAGGUUUCUGCAGUCUUAUUGCCAGGACCGGCCGGGGGAGUGGGCGGUGUUCGUGCCCUGGGCCGAGAUGGCACAGAACUCGCUUCGCCACUCCUCCACUAACCUCUCAGGGUCAGACCGAGGCUCCUGCGAUGGACGACUGGUUCAGGCACGCGGAGGAGACAUGGGAGGCCACACAUGUUCACCUCCAGCGAGCUGCGCCUCGCCAGAAAACCAGCGCGGUCCGUCACCGCAGUGAGACCCCGGUGUUCGCACAGGGGUUUCUGGCUCUCGUCCCGAAACCUGGCCCUCCACCUGCCCUGCCGGAAGCUGGGUCCGCGGUUUGUGGGGCCCUUCAAAGUCCUGAGGAAGGUGAACAAGGUGUGUUACAGAUUACAGCUCCCUCUGAUUAUCGUACUAACCCCUCGUUCCAUGUGUCUCUCCUCAGGCCGGUGGUGGCUGGUCCACUCCAGGAAUCUGAGGCGAGGGAGGUCCCUCCGCCCCCUUUGGACAUCGAGGGGGCCCUGGUGUACUCCGUUCGUUCCAUCCUGGAUUCGAGGCAUCGGGCAGGGGGCCUUCAGUACCUUGUGGAGUGGGAGGGAUACGGUCCGGAGGAGAGGUGCUGGGUCCCGGUUGCGGAUGUUUUGGACCCCGAACUGCUGCGGGAGUUUCACCAUCGCCGGCUGGAUCGCCCUGCGCUUCGCCCUCCGCAUCGUCCUGAGGUCGGUGUCGGCGUGCCACUGGAGCCGCUCGUCAAGGGAGGGGUACUGUCACGACUUCCGCCGAAGUCGGCUCCUCUCCUUGUUCAGGCGGCGUUCGGCGAUCGACGUCACCGGCUUUCUAGCCAUCGCCGCUCCAUUUCUCAUAUGUCCAUUUGUUUUGUCUUGUUCCAUACACACCUGGUUUACAUUCCCCAAUCAAUCUACAUGUAUUUAGUCCUCUGUUCCCCAUCAUGUCUUUAUGUGUAAUUGUUUAUUGUUACGUGGGAUAUUUGUCAGGCGCUGCACUUUUGUUAUUAGACCGUGUUUUUGGCACUAGUAUGUUUUAGGUGCUGUCGUUGUUGACCGGUAUUAAAGUGCGCCUGUUUAUUAUACUCCAAGGGAAGCUUCUUCUUCAUGACACCCACCAGUAUUAUUAGAAACAUCAGUCAAGCUGUUAGGGCCUUGCAAACAGAAGUGCCUGCUGAUGUCCCAUUCCCCAUGUGAUGUAUGGUUAGCCCUCACUCGACAAACAUGUAGGGCAAGGGCCAUGCACCAGGGCACCCCUUGUUGAUGAAGUGGCACCACCCUAAACAAAUUCCCACAAAGGCAGGAAGGGCAGGGGCAUUGAACCCCUACUCCCUAGAAAAAGGCCUUCCCGUCCACUCAGCCCUGUGUACAGGGCAUUGACUGUAAGGACACACAGGGAGGAGCACAACGAUGGGCAAUACAGGCUGUUUUUCCUGUUGAAGCAUUCUUUGUGUGAGAGAAGAGGACUCCUCUCUGGAAACACAGGAAGGCUCACCAGGGGUCGGCAGAGGAAUGUAAACACACACAUAGACUCCCUCCACACCACAGAGUGUGCUGUGUGCAAACUUGACAUAUCCCAUAGGUCUUCCCCCGGAAUGAAAAACAUAAACAUCACGCUGAUUUCACUUGUGUGGAUAAUGGACGGAUGUUAACUUGCUUACCCGUAAAACUUCAAUUAAAUGCUGAGUCUCAAAUAGACUUCAGCCAACCAAGUCAUAGACGGUUCUCUCUGCUGCCGCACGGCAAGUGGUACCGUUGCACCAAGUCUGGACCCAACAGGACCCAGCUUCUAUCCCCAAGCCAUAAGGCUGCUAAAUAGUUAGUUAAAUAGUUAACCUAAUUGCUACCCAGACUAAAAAGGCAAAAAAGAUCAUCAAGGACAACAACCACCCGAGCCACUGCCUUUUCACCCCGCUAUCAUCCAGAAGGCGAGGCCAACAGACUGUUAAAUAGCCAUCACUAGCACAUUAGAGUCUGCUGCCCUAUAUACAUAGACUUGAAAUCACUGGUGACUUUAGUAAUGGAACACUAGUCACUUUAAUAAUCUUUACAUACUGCUUUACUCAUCUCAUAUGUAUAUACUGUAUUCUAUUCUACUGUAUCUUAUUCUAUGCCGCUCUGACAUUGCUCAUCCAAAUAUUUAUAUAUUCUUAAUUCCAUUCCUUUACUUAAGAUUUGUGUGUAUUGUUGUGAAAUGUUAGAUAUUACUUGUUAGAUAUUACUGCACUGUUGGAGCUAGAAACACACGCAUUUCGCUACACUCGCAAUAACAUCUGCUAAACACGUGUAUGUGACCAAAAAAAUGUGAUUUGAUUAGAUUUUGACUAUCGGCAUUGACCCUUUUUGCACUAACUUUUUUUGACUCAUCACAUACGCUGCUGCUACUGUUUACUAUCUGUCACUUUACUCCGAGUUAUAUGUCACCUAAAACACUCACCCCGCCCUCAACCUCAAUGCUCUCCAGAGGGUAGUGCGGUCUGCACAACACAUCACCGGGGGCAAACUAACUGCCCUCCAAGACACCUACCGCACCCGAUGUCACAGGAAGGUCAAAAAGAUCAUCAAGGACAACAACCACUGCCUGUUCACCCCGCUAUCAUCCAGAAGGCGAGGUCAGUACAGGUGCAUCAAAGCUGGGACCGAGAGACUGAAAAACAGCUUCUAUCUCAAAGCCAUCAGACUGUUAAACAGCCAUCACUAACAUUGAGUGGCUGCUGCGAACAUACAGACACAAAUCUCUGGCCACUUAAAUAAAUUGACUUAAUAAAUGUAUCACUAGUCACUUUAAAUAACGCCACUUUAAUAAGGUUUACAUAUCCUACAUUACUUAUCUCAUAUGUAUAUACUGUAUUCUAUACCAUCUACUGCAUCUUGCCUAUGCAGCACGGCCAUCGCUCAUCCAUAUAUUUAUAUGUACAUAUUCUUAUUCAUCCCUUUACAUUUGUGUGUAUAAGGUAGUCAUUGUGAAUUUGUUAGAUUACUGUUAGAUUACUUACGGGAAGGACCCGUAAGUAAGCAUUUCACUGUUAGUCUACACCUGUUGUUUACAAAGCAUGUAGUGAAUAAAAUUGUAUUUUAUUUGGCCAUGCAUGACUGACCGUAGCGGCAAAGCCAGCAAAAUGCAAAGGGUUUGUUUCAAACUGUCUCUUUUCAUGUACUGUAGUAUCUAAAAGACAGGUCUUCUGCUGCCAAAUCUGUACCCCUAGCCACUAGCUAAAUCCACACAGAUUUACCCAUGACUUGACUUUGGAACAUUGUUAUUUUUUCUUUGCAUCAGGGUUUUUUCCCAUCCUGCCAAAUGAUGUUGGUUGUUCUGUUAGAAGUGAGCUCGGGAUCAAAAGGAGGGAUGGUGUGAUGGGUGUAUGGGCAUGGGGGGGUGUUGCAGCUGUCUGGAUCAAAUGGAUCAGAGUCAACUGGGGUGGGGUGGUUUAGGCAGGGGGCUCAUAGGGGACACCUAUUCUUCUGUGUCAUAGCCAGCCUGCACGGCACAUAUGCCAGUCCCAAGGCCACUCUGAAAGCCAUGCCCCCAUGCAGCCUUCUCAACUGUAACUCUGUGUAAUAACAUGGCCUGUUCUUCCAUUAAUGGUUUCCAUGAUGCGGCCGUCCUCUUCACUCCACUGAAAUGUGUGUGAGUGAUAUAUAUAUAUAUAUGUCCCCAGCAGACACACGUUGUGAAUGUGUGUACAUGAGCACUUUGUUUGAGUUUUGUUUUCAGACACCAAGACAAUAGAAAUGCCAAAACAGAUGUAGAAACAGUUAGAGUGGUGUUGCGGAUGUUUGUACUCCCUCUCUCCCCCUCGCCUUGUGAUUGCACAUCAACGUUGUAGAGUAAGUGUUAAAGUGCCUGUGAUUGAUUUGGUUGUUUAGCUCCUUGAAGCAGUAGUCUGUUAAUGAAGGAGCCCUGAACUCGGACUGCAGAGAGUGGUGAGAUCACAGACAGCCCCUGGACAACACUGUCCUUGGAACAAUGGUUAACCCUAAUUAGAAGUGUUAUUUGUAACAUAGGCAGCUUUUUGUGCAGCCACUGGCCAUUGUCAUUUAACCCAAAAGGCGAUAAUGCUUGAUAGUGGGUUAGGUGUUUGAAGGUUUUAAUGGUACCUGGUAAAAGUGGUGAACAGUUGAGAACAGCUGACAUGGGUUAAGGAAGUGAGAGAAGCACUGUCAUGGCAAAUACACACACUCCCUACUGUUUGUUUGCUCCCAGCUUGGGGAGGUGGGCUGAGCUGGUUUCAACACUGACUGAUUUAUAGUUUGGCGCUGUCUAUCAAGCAGCUGACAGAUGGACAUUGCACUGCAACCUCAGCAGCACAGCAGACACAUCACUUUCCAAACUCCAUCCAUUUCACUACCAACUGGAAUGCUAAGGAUAAGUCAAUGGGGCAUUCUUUUCUACACUUUUGACUACUUUAAUACACAUAUAAGUGAAUUUGUCCCAAUACUUUUGGUCCCCUAAAAUGGGGGACUAUGUACAAAAAGUGCUUUAAUUUCUAAAUGGAAAAGACCCUCAAAUUAAAGCUGACAGUCUGCACUUUAUUGUCACAGUCAUUGUAUCAUUUCAAAUCGAAAGUCCUGGAGUACAGAACCAAAAC